rnacentral:rRNA from 1 species
UACGUAGGGUCCGAGCGUUGUCCGGAAUUAUUUGGGCGUAAAGAGCUCGUAGGCGGCUUGUCGCGUCGUCCGUGAAAACCUGCGGCUCAACUGCAGGCUGGCGGUCGAUACGGGCAGGCUGGAGUUCGGUAGGGGGAGACUGGAAUUCCUGGUGUAGCGGUGAAAUGCGCAGAUAUCAGGAGGAACACCGGUGGCGAAGGCGGGUCUCUGGGGCCCAUACUGACUG